CUCCUGCCCCGGGCAGGCCCCCUGCGGGCCCCCCAUCUCGAGCUUCCGAGAGCUCCGGGAAGUGCUCGCGGCGCCGGGCGGGACUUGCUGUGGGCGCGGCGUUCGCUCGCUUCCGGCUCCCGCAGCCGCGGGGAGGAGGCGGGGUGGCUCCGCGCUGCGGGUCCCUCGGCCCUGCGGCCCGGCUGGCGGUGGACGCGGUGUCACGGCCGGCCCCCUCGGGCCUUCCUCCCACAGUCCGCACGACCCCUGACCGCAGAGCUACGUCCGUGCGCCAAGAGGGCGUCCCCCGCCCGCUGGGCCCAGGGACCCGACGGCCGCAGGCCAGGUUCCCAAAUCAUGCUUCUUCCACCUCAUUUUCGGGAGUCCGCUGGAAGAGUUGACAAUCCCGGGAAAGGCCGGGUUUCGCUUUGGAAGAAGUUCGUCUGGGAGUGUGCGGGCGGAGCUCGUGAAGUCCGGACCGCUGUGCCCCUGAGGGGAGCCCCCGGCCCCGGGCACGGCCCCAUCCGCGCCGCUGGGGUGUGUUUCCCUGAGACCUCUCCAGGGAUCAGCACGACGUCCUCGUCUCGCCGACGCCAGCGCUGUCACCCGCUGUGACCUCACCUGCCACUCCGUCUGCCAAGGGCACCAGGCCAGGCUCUCCUCUUCCGGAGGAGGGGACCCAGGGACACGGUCUCUGCAUGCUCCGGUUCAGAGGCUGCUGUCAUCUGCUGCCUCCCCUUCUGGCUUCAGCUCAGAGUGAGGAGGAGAUUCCAGGGCAGGAAAUCCCGGAAGAGGCAGAACCCCAGUGUGUCCAGGCGACAAAUGCCUCAAGUCUCCGAUGGUGGGGCCAAGGACCUGCCGGACUGUGCAGAAGCCAUCAGGGUUCCCAGCUGGCAGGGCUGCCACAAGAGACCUGCCCGCACCAGGCGAUUCCUGGGGAGGAGAGGAACCAAGACCUUGAGAUGGGAAGCAAAGCCAGCCUCACCGCCAGCCUGUGACCCGCCAGGGAGACCACACAAGAGAGAGGUUGGGCGCGGUGAGCCCGGCUGUUUGAGCCACUCCAAAUCUAGCAGGCGUGGGGAGCCCCAGCCUGGGAACCAGCUCUCCACCAGCCUGUGGGACUCAAGGCCUCCCCGCACUGGCCAAGGCCUGGAGCGGCAGAAGCUUCCCGUUAGGGGAGAAGCCUCACCAGUGCGUGCAGGAGAGUUUUCGGAUAGACAUCGGACUAGAGGAUCCACACUGGCAGGAAGCCAUCUCGUGUAGCCAGCGCGGGAAAGCCUUUGUGCACAGCUCCCAGGUCACGCAGCCCCCGCG
ensembl:lncRNA